rnacentral:rRNA from 1 species
GACGAACGCUGGCGGCGUGCUUAACACAUGCAAGUCGAACGAAGUGGCGAACGGGUGAGUAAUACGUGGGUAACCUGCCCUCCUUUUUCGGAUAAGCCUUGGAAACGGGGUCUACUACCGAAUAAAGGGGGAUGGGCUAUCGGCAUAUCAGCUUGUUGGUGGGGUGGUGGCGUACCAAGGCGGUGACGGGUAGCCGGACGGAGAGGGGGACGGGCUACAUGAGGACUUAGAUACGGCCCAGACUCCUACGGGAGGCAGCAGGGGGGGAUAUGGCACAAUGGGCGAAAGCCGGAGGCAGGGACGCCGCGUGGGGGAUGAAGGCGUGCGGGUUGUAAACCUCUUGCGCAAUCGGACGGGUAGGUGGAGAAGAAGCGGCGGCUAACUACGUGCCAGCAGCCGCGGUAAUUA